rnacentral:tRNA from 1 species
ACCUGGAUGGCUCAGUUGGUUGAGCGUCUGACUUCGGCUCAGGUCACGAUCUCACGGUUCGUGAGUUCGAGCCCCGCGUCGGGCU